rnacentral:rRNA from 1 species
UGGGGAAUAUUGGACAAUGGGCGAAAGCCUGAUCCAGCCAUGCCGCGUGAGUGAAGAAGGCCUUCGGGUUGUAAAGCUCUUUUAGUCGGAAAGAAAAGAUCAUAAUGAACAAUUAUGAUUCAUGACGGUACCGACAGAAAAAGCACCGGCUAACUACGUGCCAGCAGCCGCGGUAAUACGUAGGGUGCGAGCGUUAAUCGGAAUUACUGGGCGUAAAGGGUGCGCAGGCGGUUUUGCAAGUCAGAUGUGAAAGCCCCGGGCUUAACCUGGGAAUUGCGUUUGAAACUACAAGGCUAGAGUGCAGCAGAGGGGAGUGGAAUUCCAUGUGUAGCAGUGAAAUGCGUAGAGAUGUGGAAGAACACCGAUGGCGAAGGCAGCUCCCUGGGUUGACACUGACGCUCAUGCACGAAAGCGUGGGGAGCAAACA